ACGAGUUUUGAAACGAGUUGUAGCUGGCCUUCCGAGGCAUGUGCACGCUCUGCUCAUCCACUCUACCCCUGUGCACUUACUGUAGGUUGGCGUGGGCUCCUUAACGGGAACAUUCUGCCGGCCUAUGUAUACUACAAACACUUUAAAGUAUCAGAAUGUAAACGCGUCUAACGCA
rnacentral:misc_RNA from 1 species